GAUGAACGCUGGCGGCGUGUCUAAUACAUGCAAGUCGAGCGAAUGGAUUAAGAGCUUGCUCUUAUGAAGUUAGCGGCGGACGGGUGAGUAACACGUGGGUAACCUGCCCAUAAGACUGGGAUAACUCCGGGAAACCGGGGCUAAUACCGGAUAACAUUUUGAACCGCAUGGUUCGAAAUUGAAAGGCGGCUUCGGCUGUCACUUAUGGCUGGACCCGCGUCGCAUUAGCUAGUUGGUGAGGUAACGGCUCACCAAGGCAACGAUGCGUAGCCGACCUGAGAGGGUGAUCGGCCACACUGGGACUGAGACACGUCCCAGACUCCUACGGGAGGCAGCAGUAGGGAAUCUUCCGCAAUGGACGAAAGUCUGACGGAGCAACGCCGCGUGAGUGAUGAAGGCUUUCGGGUCGUAAAACUCUGUUGUUAGGGAAGAACAAGUGCUAGUUGAAUAAGCUGGCACCUUGACGGUACCUAACCAGAAAGCCACGGCUAACUACGUGCCAGCCGCCGCGGUAA
rnacentral:rRNA from 1 species